rnacentral:lncRNA from 1 species
UUAAAUUGGUUAAACAAAAUAUGUCAAAUAAUAUGAUUAUUAAGCAACUUCUCACAAUUUGUUCACAAUACAAACAAUUAGUUUGACAAAGUCUGUCUGAAUUUUUUGAUGUGGAGCUAGAUGUGUAUAGCGGAGCUGCCUACUAAAAACCACUACCGCAUUACUCACAGCUUGGCCUGGAAUCAAACCAUGCUAUGCCAUGAAAUCAUUGGAUAAGAUACAUGGACUUGGUUCACAAUGAUAGGAAUGGAGACUCUUGGGGCCUGGCUUCUAAACAAUUGCGUUGUGGUCUUGGUAGAGAAUUUGAAUUACAUCUAACUUUCUCAUGACCACUAGAAGAUCAGUAGAAGUGGGGCCAUUGACCAUUAGAGAUUGUUGUUAAAAGUCAGUGGGUUAUGAGUGUCAAAUUAAAUCCUGACUGAACCAGACCUGUUUAUUAAAGAAGUUAUGUAAAUCUUGUCAUAUUACGUGUGUAAUAAAUGGGUUGUAUUCAUAUUAAAGGACUAUGACAUGAUUAUUAAAUGGGUUGUAUUUGCUUGACCAGAUUUCGCUAUGAUCUUAUCUCAACAUGGAACAAACUACAUAUAACAUGACUUUAGUGUCACACAAAUAUUACUCUACAAAUCCAUAUAACACGAUUCUAUUGCCACUCAAAUGUUGCCAUUGCCUUCCUUUGUUCAAUAAAUUGACACGUGAUCUUGGGCUGUUGUUGAUAGACCUGAUAGUCAAUCUUCUUUAAAUUUCUUCAUUUUGGUCUACUGUGUCCCUUUUUGCAACCAUACUAAAAACUGAAAAUCAUGCUGAAAUUAUGAAUUCUCAACUCUUCAACCAGUUUUGGCAAGUUACAUAGGUUUCAAAUGGUGAAAUUGACAUUUCUUUUAAUAAGUCAAGGGAUAUUUUGAAAUGUCUUAAUUAUUAUCUUAUGGCAAUCUAUUAUUCAAAGCCUUAACAAAGGUCCAAACUCAAACUCAUUGUCAAUGGGGCCAUAAUAUGUAGUAAAUGGCUUAAACCGAGUCUAAUAUCUUUGUUAAUGAAACUGAUGAUUUUUCUCUCCAUAGUUUGACCAUAAUUAUUUUCCCUUUUGAUAUUAUGAAAACCUGCUACAUGCUUUGCAAGAUGGGGGAAAAUCACAGAAACAUGAUCCCCUUCUGAAAACCUACCAUGCAUUGGGUAAGCUCAGGACUUGAAUCUCAAGCCACCUCCUGUUCCUGAGGGGGAGUGCUGUUGUCUGAGGCUUCCCAGUUUCUUAUUAUUUUUUUUUUUGUUUUGCACUUUUUUUUGUUUGCUUGUUUAGACUGACAACUUCAUGAAAACUUGUUCAAUGGAAAAAUAGGUAUUUAAAUUACAAUUUUUUUUGUUCAAUGGUACCAUUUGCUUCAGGAUUUCAACUAAUGAAUGAUCUAAUGGUUUGCAAGAGUUUGACAUGAUAUGGUGUAUUACCAUUAUGUGUUGCCUGUUUCAUGUUCUGAUUUUUAUGCUUUUCCCAUUGUUUUCUAAUGUAUGGUUCUUUUUUCUUUUUGAUGUAUGUAAAAGAGUCUAGAAGCAGAUUUGUCAAGGAUUACUAUAGCUUUUCUCUGAAUUAUGUUGUAAUGGCCAGUAUUUUAGUGUCAGAAGGUUUGUGUAUGCUAGCAGAAAUCUGGGAAAUAGUGCUUUAGGGGUUGUAGGUCAUUCUAUUUAGGAAAAAUGUGUACCAACACAACAUGAUUUCUGACAGUGAUUUGUAGGAAAAUCUUGGCUAGCUUGAGUCACUAACUGUAUGAUGGUCUUCUUACCAUGUUUUCUGGUUCACUGAAUUCCAGAGGCAGAUUUACAGUAAAUUUAAAAUGUAGACCUUGUGCAUUGUCAACUGCCAUUUCUUAGUUAGCAUUGAAUUGCCUUCAUGACUUGCACUUCUUUGCUUUAGAUAUAAUCUCUUUUUAUUUUUUAUUUUUGGAUGCUGAAUUGGUUUCCAUCUCCAUUGUGUUCCAGGCAAAUCCAUCUGAUCCCAAGACAUUUCCUUUUAUAUUAUUGGGAAACAAAAUUGAUAUAGAUGGUGGAAAUAGCCGAGUGGUAAGGACUAUAGUUACUGUCCUAUUUUAAUUUUGUUAUUUAUUGCAUCUGGUCCUAAUUUAUUUGAAUACAGGUUUCUAAGAAAAAAGCAGAGGACUGGUGUGCUUCGAAAGGAAACAUUCCUUACUUUGAAACAUCAGCAAAGGAGGAUUACAAUGUUGAUGCUGCAUUCCUUUGUAUUGCCAAAACUGCCCUAGCCAAUGAGCAUGAACAAGACAUGUAAGUUAACCUUUAAGGCUGAUUUGUUCUUUGGAAUGAUCUGACAUGGAGGUGAUAAUUGCUGCUCAGUUUUUUUUUACAUGUUAGGUUCAUCUGUAUUAAAGGAGUGUCUAUUGUGUUAUGUGCUGUCCAUGAUUGUUAUACUUCAAUAGGAAAACUAUAUUGGUUUAUGAUAGCUGGGAAGUAAGUAUAUGCUAGUUAUUCAUCCAUUAAAUUGGAGAUUGUGCUCCAAAAUUACACUAGUUAUUGUUCAAGCAUGAUUCUUGGCAGUGUAUGUACAAGCCAGAACCAUUUCUUUCUUAUUUGCUAGAAAAUAUUCUCUUUAUUUUGGUGCAAGUGGUUGAGUAUAUAAAGUUCUAGUCACAUACGGAGGGUUAACUAUCACCAUUUUUGAUGAAAUUUAAUUUUGUUAUGAUUUCCAUGUAAGUGGUUCACAUGGAAUUUCAUGAGGUCAUAGUGAUGAUCUUGAGUUCUGUUUUGAUGGUGUUGUUAGAUCUGGGUGUUUUGAGCCUUCUUCAGGUUUGAUGUUUCAGAACACCAGGACUUUUGAAGCUUCUUGUUGAAGUUGAUCUGAAGACAUUUUUUUUUUCAUGGGCCAUGUUGCGUAGCCAGGGUUGUUGGCAUCUUUGGUCCUAACUGAGAGAGCAUGCCACCUUUUGCUCUCUCAUUUAAGUAUUGGGUGCAGUGAUCGUCCUGGUUUUUUUUUCCAUUUCUUCAAUGAUUUCCGUCUUUCUUUGUCUUCUCAAAUUUGAUUAUGUAGGGUUAAGAUCAUUCCAGCCUAUGGCUGUUUUCUACAAAGUGAACAAAUAUUUCAACAAGCAGGUUCUUUCGAGAGGGUCUAGGAUCUUAGAAAGAGUGAAGGGUACUUAAGCAAAAGAUUUUUCUCAUUUGUUUUAAUGAAGUGUUCAUGUAUUUUAACUUUACUGCAUAACACGUGAUGUAGCUAUGCAUGAGCCCAUAUUGCCAUUUUGCUCAGAUUUUCAUGUUGUAAUGGUAAAUAUUUCUUAGAUCCAUUUAGUUAAAUUAAGCCUAAUUUGCUAAUAAUUUAAGUGCUUGAAAUCUUAGUGACCUUUCUAUGUGAAGAUCUCAUGUUUCUUCUAGCUCAAUUUUUGUUGACAUUGGGGCUUGUAAAGUUAGCCUAAAAUUCAUGGUUGUGUGUAAUUGACAGGAAAAUAAGAGAUGGCCCUUUUCAUCAUUAGAUUGGAUUAGGCACACACCCCGCACCGCCACUCCCCCACACUACCACCACAAUGAAUCUGACCUUAUACAUGGCCGAAAUGGCUUUCUAAGGAGACCAAUGAGUUUCUCUCUAAGUGAUUUUAGAAUUCAAUCCACCAGUCUAAAGGCCAAAUAUAGUCUAGAGUGCCAGAUGCCACCCUUUGUUUUCUAGGAAAUCUCCUUGUCUGUUUGCCACAAAGAGCCCUGUGUGAAAGCAUCAUUGCCUAAUCUCAAUCACUCUUGUGCUUAGCUUGGUGACUAUAAUCCACCCAAUCAGAUGACCUCCGCUUGGUUUCCUAGGGCCCUUAAGAAGCCCUUUGGAUCUCCUCUGUUAUUUCUGCCACACUAUUAGGCAUUCUGAACAUGUAGAUGUAAACUUAAUUGUACCUUUUUAGGGGUAGUCAUAAAUUUGUUUUUAAUAUGAGUCCAUUUUUUCUUGUUAGGCAAAUAAGAAUAUACUAAAUUAGUGCUUGAAAAGAGGGGGCCCAAACCUAGGUAUGUAGGUUGUAUGUAAGGAACACUUAAAGCACAAACAAGAAGAGCUCAACCCAUUCCCUACUCAUUGUUAAAAUUUAACAAUAAAAGAUUUCCAUUCCUGAAAGAUAUACUUAAUGAUGAAUCCUUGCACCAACAAAUAUUUCAAAUAGAAAUCUCAGUUUCAGAAUUAGUGGCUUCACCUGUUCAAAAUCCUUUGAUUCUGCUGUUUUUUUAAAGCUAUGAUGUAGAGAGGUUACCAUCAAAGCCAAGGUGAUCACACAUUAUUUAUCAAAACUUUCAUCUAGGGAAACUUAAAGCAUUAAUUGUGUAUGACAAUGAUAUUGUUGUCAUUGGAGAUGACCAAGAAGAGAUUAUGGGGUUGAAAUCAUACUUAGUUGAAGAAUUUGAAAUCAAGGACUUGGUAAGCAUUGAUAUUUCCUUAGAAUCGAGGUGGCUAGAUCAAAGCAAGGAUUAUCGAUUUCUCAACAGAAGUACAUACAAGAUUUACUUAAGGAAAUGAGUAUGCUUGGGUGUAAACCAGUUAAGACACCUAUUGAACAAAAUCACAGACUAGGAGAGAAAUCUGAAGGCCAACUAAUUGAUUGAGGCAACUACCAACAGAUGGUGGAAAAACUAAUUUACUUGUCACUCACAAGACCAAACAUUGCAUAUGCCGCGAGUAUGGUAAGUCACUUUAUGCAUGCUCCACUUAGACCCCACUUAGAAGCUGCAUACUGGAUUUUGAGAUAUUCGAAGGCAGCUUCUGACAAGGUUAUCUUAUUUAAGAAGGGUAAAGAAUUAAAGUUAGAAGCCUACACAAAUGGAGACUAGGCGAGAUCUAUUGUGAAUGGACGAUCAACUAUGGGAUUUUGUACUUUCUUGGGAGGUAAUCUUAUCAUUUGGAGAAGUAAGAAAUAAUCAGUUGUACACUGUUCAAGUUCGAGAGCAAAAUUUAGAACUAUUGCAUAAGAUAUUUCUGCACUUCUUUGGAUUAAGAUCUUACUUAGGGAUCUCAAAAUCAAAUUUUAAGAACCUAUGAUAUUGUAUUGUGAUAAUAAAUUUGCCAUCAAUAUAGCUCACAACCUAGCCCAUCACUAUCGAACCAAGUAUGUGGAGGUUGACAGAUAUUUUAUAAAGGAAAAGUUGGAUGGUGGUCAAGUGUGCAUGCCAUAUAUUUGUACUACUAAUCAACUAGCCAAUGUUCUCACUAAAGGACUCCCAAGUUUAGCAUUUCAAUGAAUGACUGACAAGCUGGGAAUGCAAAACAUCUUUGCACCAACUUUAGGAGGAGUGUUGGAAGAAUUGCAAUUGGGUUGUUGACCAUGUAAUAUAGUUUCCAUAUAUAAGUGUUGUAUAGUUGUACAAUAUUAUAGAUCCUAAGGUUUUGCUGGGAUUAAUUUGUUUCCUUGUUAAAUUUUCUGUUUCUUUCUUUAGAUUCUAGAGUCAAAAGCUUUGUUCAAUAUAUAGCUCUGUAUCAAACCUUAGAAGGAAUAAGAAAAGAAUUAUUUUCUCCUGCCUUUCUUUAAUUUUAGCAUGAUACAAGUAUAGGGAUGAGAAAUUUAGAAAUGUGAAAUCUAAAAAUUGGGAAUUACACAGAAGUAAUCAUCCUCAUGCAUCAGGUUGCAUCACUAAGACAGCCAGCACAACCAAAUAGCUGGAUGGAAAAAGAAUCUAAGAAAAAACCCUAAUGGUAGGGUCAUUAGAUGCAUCAGGUUGCAUCACUAAGACAGCCAGCACAACCAAAUAUCUGGAUGGAAAAAGAAUCUAAGAAAAAACCCUAAUGGUAGGGUCAUUAGAUGUUUCUUAUUUAUUUUUUAUGGUUUUUUAAGAUGAUUAAGUCAUUUAUGAUCGUAAUAAGGUGAUCUUCUUUCUUGUUCUAUGGAAUCAACAACACUCUAGAUACCCAGUUUUUGGUAUAUUCUUUAAUAAAUCUACAAGUUUUAGAAGAUGCUGCAUUUUGUUUGUUACUCAACCAUGUUUUUAUGUACUUGUUGCAUUAAGUGGUGCCAGAGUAAUGUCAUGUUUGGUGCAGGUAAACAACUCUCAAGUAUUAUUCUUCAUGAAUUUAUUCAUUAGCAGCCAAUAGAGAAGUGAAAGGUUUGUUUGGUGAAGUUUUUUAAAACAAUUCUCAAAAAAUUAUUUUUGAGAAUAGUUCUUAAAAAUAGUUCUCAAUUGUUUUUAGCAACAAAAUUCAGUUUAAGAACUCAAAUAUGAAAAACAUUUUUCUUGUCUUAUUCUAAGUGAAAUCAUUAUGCAUUUAUGUACAAUGCAAAAAUUCUCAGCCUAUUCUUUAUGUUUCCUGUUGUCUUUCAGAACACUAUAAAAACCACAUGAAAAUACCUCAAAUUUGUUUUAAAAAAUCAUCAUGUUUUCAGAAAAAAUUAUCAAAGAAAUUUGUCCAGUCAAAAAUUUGCCAAAUGUGUUUUUGAAGUUAGAAUAUGUUGGAUCUCUUUAUCCAGAUGGUUUAAGGUUGAGUAUCUGCAGACGAAUUAGUUUAAGAUCUUGGUGAAAUUUUGAUGUUCAAGAAUAAUUUGUAAACAGACCUUAAGGUUGUUGGUAGUUGGAAUUUGGAUGUGGAUCAUGGGAACUAGAGUUUGUGUUCCAUUAGGAGCUCUUAUGAUUGGGAAUUAGUGGUAGGGGUUUCUUGUAAUGCUCAUCUCAUUAACAACUUAUGCAUUAGGGAGGCCAGGGGGGAUACUCUGUUGUAGAAGUUUCUUUUAAGUUUCUCUUCUAGGUGCUUCUUUUAGGCAUUCUCUUUGUUUUCCAGCUUUGAAGGUUUGGGUUCCUAGGGUUCAAUUCAAGGUGUGCAUUUUCGUACGGGAGGUAGUAUGAAGUAACUUAAGUAAGAUCCUUGCCAUGGAUCAGUUGAUGAGAAGAUGUGUUUUGGUUAACUGACAUUGCUUUUAUCCUUGGCACAUGGAGUCUCUACUGGCUACAUUGCUGUGGUGUUACUUUUUUCCAUCUUAGAGAUUUUCUGGGUUUUUCUUUGUUUUGUGAAGGACCACUUUGUUAGUUGGUGCAGCUUUGAGAAAGGAAGACAAAAAUACUAGAAAACACUACUUUUCUUUCGUUUUUUUUUUAAUCUGUUUUGGUGCAUUUGGAAGGAGUGUAACCAAAAGUAUCUUUGAAGGGGUGUUGUUUGUGUUAGCUGAAAGCUCUCCUUAUUGUGGCUUUGUUUCAUUAGUCCGGAGAUCCUCCAAGGCAGGGAAAUUUGUCUUUAUCGGAUUCUUUGGAUGGUAUUAUGUUGGUGGGGUUUGCUUUCUCGUGGUGCUUUUUAUUGUAUUUACCAGGUUGGACCUCUGGUCUUUUAGCAGAACAUAAUAUUAAUUAUGGUUAAUAAGUAACCAUUUUUUGUGCUGAUUAUAGUUUAAAGCUGAUUCUAACUUGUUUGCCUAUAAUGUUCAAGAGUGACUUAGGAUGAUGUUGCCCAUUGCUUGUCUGUGUUUUAAUUGGUUUAAUAGAUUCUUUAUUCUUUGUUAUAAUAUUGCAGAAUCGAUUUCCCCCAAAUAUAUCUCUACAUACUUGUUUCUACCAUUUCUUUUUAGCGUUAAAACGAUUUUAUAUGGCGUAAUGAGAAUCACUGAAUUGACAUAUUGGCCUUUUUUCCUUCUUAAAUGUAUAUAACCAGCUAUUUCCAGGGCAUCCCUGAGGCAGUUUCUGAAACUGAGCAAGGAGGCGGUUGUGCAUGCUGAACUUGAAUAUGGAAUGAUGCAGACUCGGUCCCACCUGAUUGUUCCCUAUUUCUUCAAUUUGUCUUUUUUUUUUUUUUUCGUUUUUUCAUUUGUUGUGAUUUAUAGUCAUUUUUUGCCUUUGAAAUGUUUGAGCUGUUGUCUUGUGUUGCCACUUUAGAAGAAAGCAGUCUUUAUUUUGCUGAACAUGAGCUUUAGUACUUAAAAUUGUAGAGUAGAAAGCCCCAUUGGAUUCAUUCACCAGGAAUCAUUUUCAUCUGUGGUUCGGAAUUGAGAUCCAUUUUUAGUAGGAAAAAUCAUUGCUUUUAAGCUCAAUAUGUAUUUUCUGUACGGUUUAUUUAACUUGUGGAGUUUUAGUUGGAUCGAAUUACAUGUAAUCGAACUCCUAUUCUUUGAGAUUGCAUGGGAAGCUUUGUUUUACUUAGAAAAUCUGUGGAUGUUCCAUGUACUGAAAUAAUAUGAAUUGAUUUCAAGUUUUCUAUAUAGGAAACAGAGUUCUGAUUAUCUGCAGACCUGCUAGUUGAACUGGUAAAACGCUAGCCUUCUUUCACCAGGCUUUUACUGAAUCACUGAAAUCUUCCAGCACAAUUGGGGAUGGAUCUUGGCAUGGCGGCAUGUAUGCAGGAGGUGGAAGGAUACUGGUCUCAGGCGUGCCGCCGUCCUUCACUAUGAAAACAGUGUCCAUACCCAAGGUGAGAUGUCGAUCCAAAUGACAGUGCCAUAGCCAUACACCUGCAUGCAACCAUCCUUAUCAGUUCCAAUGAUCAACAUCAGUUUUUAUAGUAUACUUGUAUAGUCCUGAAGAAUACACCCACCAGGAUUAUUUGCUACAAAUCUGAGGGCAACCCAUCCAUUCUGAGGAACUGUAACGGUGUUCCGUUCAGGUGGGUCAACCAAAUUAAACCCUUGGGGAUCAGUCUCAUUGUCGAAAACUCCAUAACCCGACCCAAUCACAUAAAAGGUAUAACCAUGUAGAUGCAGUGGAUGAUCUUCGGGUGUAUAUUGCACAUUAGUUCCCUGGAAUAUGAUCUCCGCUGAUUCAUUGUAGUUGAGGACCUUCACCUUAGUCGCCUGCAUUGUUACGUCGGAAGGCAUAUCGUACCCGGUGAAGUUAAAAUAGUAGGACGGAUGGUCUGGGAAAUCUGUGGUAUAAACUCCACCAACAUGCCUGUAAUAAACCCUCAUUUGGAGACCAUCAUAAACAAUAAUCCAGGAAAAAAAAAGACUGAAAAAAAGAAAAGAACAGAGAAAUAAAAAACACAGUGGAUUACCUGUAGUAGGCUUGCAGCACAUCCAUCUCGGGGUUCAGAAAACUAAUGUUGUUCAAGCUUGAAGCUAUGUAAGUCCCUGUUGUCCCCUCAUCUUCAUAGACCACUGAAUUCAUUGCCACUGUGAUGUACAUUCUAGUAGUUAUAUCUAGAGGCACAUUCACUGGGUGCUCUGGGCUUGCUAAGCUCCGAAACUGGGACAAAAAGCUGUAUGCAACCCCCAAUUGGUGGUAAGCAGGAAGGUUGGCUGGAAAGGAAGGUGCGGCCGGGGGUGUGUAGUUGCCUCUAUAUUGAAUAAUUGCAGUAACAUUUGAAUCAUCGAAGUCGGGAACUUCAGGAUUUUCAGAUACAAACUGCCUGGCAGCCAUGUAAUAGUAACUUGGAGCCUGGUCCAUUGUGACCAGGACAUCCAUAGUUUGUCCCGGGGUGAUCAUUAUGAAACUGGUGACAAAUGGUUUGGUGUAGGUUCCGUCGGUGCCAACAACAGUGAGGUUGUGGCCGGAUAUGGCGAAGAAGGUUUCCGAGUUCAUGAUUGCAUUCACUAUGCGAAGAAGAUAGGUCUUGCCAUAAUCCACCAGUAAACGAUAUGUUGUUCCUGCAACAAAUUAGUCAUGAAGAUCAAUAGAUGUUGGUGCCUGUAACUGUUCAUACACAGGACACAUUUAUUUGCUAGUUGUAUGUUGAGGUACCAUUGGAGCAUGCUGCAAAAUCUCCUGGCUGGCCGUUGAUGGUGUAAGCAUCUGAUACCGGAGUAGAUGAAGUGGAAUUUUGGAGCAGUGCCUCCUGAACCAGCAAGUUCACAUCUCCCUCGAACCAAGAUGCUGCAAUAAGAAAAUAGUAAGAUCCACACCUAAAUAUCCGGAAUUAAUCCAUUCCAUUCAUUGUAGUUUAAUAGAAAAAAAAAAUUCUUUCUCAUGGUACUAGCUAGUUAUGGGCCAUCUUUUUUUUUUUUUUCUGUUGAAAGAAUAGCACUUUUUGUUCUCAUCCUCGCUUGUUCCACAUAAGGCUGUUGGGUCCCCUACCUUAUUUUCCAAAGUAUACAAAAUCACUUGGACUCUCAAUUCCCCGACCUACUUUUCAAGACUAGAAAUCCAUUGUAGUAAAAAAUAUUUGCAGAGUUACCAAGCACAAUAACUUCUUCAGCAUCAGGCUUGGGAUAUGGAUAGGUGGUUCCUUCAGCUGGCAAAACUACAAUAGCACCAUGUAUUACUGAAAAUUCCAAGUACCCUAUUUCUUGAAUAAAAUUGAAGGAGAUAUUUUUUUGAGGGCUUGAUCAGCAUGGAAACAAGUAUCUUUUACUAGCUUUAUGGUGUGGUUGUGAGCAAUUGAGAUAGGAUCCGACUGAGAUGGUCCAGUUUUAGUGUGGACAAACCAUUUUGCCCCAGGUUUCGCUUUUCAAAAGCCUAGGUUUUGGAAACUGAUGUGCACCUUGUAAAUUCUAAUUAGUAUAUUGAACAACUUUGAUAAGAUUCCCUCUCACAAGCAAAGGGGCCCUACUGUAUUGGACUCUAUCAGGCUGAUUAAUUCCCCAGAAUGGACAUUAAAAGAGACGCUUUCAACUUAUUGGACGUUGAACUUACUUUUUGAUUGCAAAAAUGAAGAGGACCUUGUUCAAAUGCAUCAGUAGAAUGGCCAAGUUGUGGUGUAUAGAAUAUGAAAAAUAUUCACCUUUUCCAGUGGUUUUUAAGGACAAGCCUAUGGUAUAUGGUAGAGUUAAAUCUCUUUAAAUAUGGAGGAGGUAGAUUGCGUUGAAAUCAUAUAAUCCCAAUUCAUUCUAUUACGGUAACUUUCGGGCAUUAAAGUUACUUUAAGCGUGGCUGAAUUAAUACCACAUGUCCUGUUAUAGUGUCAAAGAGACGCCUAAGUUUGGUUUGCCCUUGAAAGUGACAUUUAUAUUGAGACGUCCUAAUGGUCAUUUAAUAUUUUUUAUUUUUCCCCUUUUAGGUUUUUUAUUGUUGAACUUGCUUCCAUAUGAAAUACUGAGACUGAUGUGGAUGUCAUUGUUGUGAGCUCCAUCUAUCUUCCUUGCGUUAUCUGAACUCAGGUUGCUGUUACAAGAUUCCCCUAACAAGGCUUUCUUUAGUUUAGACCAUCUAAUCUCACUAAACAAAGCCUUCAUGUGGUCCAUUCUUGAUUUAAAUUUGAAAAUCUUGCUGAUGCAAUAUAUUAUAUAUUAUAUAUUAUAUAUUUAUAUUUAUAUUGAUGUAAAGCUUCCUCUGUAUACUUGUGUAUUUGGAUUUCUUAAAAUUCAUUUCUUUGCUUGCCAUGACUUCGUUUUUCUUACCCUCUAUUUGUUUGUUUUCUGCCCUGGAGAAUUUCCCAUCAUCCAAACGGUCUUUUCUCCCUCUGAUUUUUUUUAUUUUUUAUUUUUUAUAAAAAAAUCUCCUCUCCCCACGCUUUAUUCCUUCUACUUUAGAGUUUUGUCUCUUGCACUAGCAUGGUGGGCAUCAAUGCAUCAUCUGUGCGAUGGGAGUGCACACCACGCGCAGACCUUGAAAAAAAGAGGAUAUAACUGCUCUGAAAAUUAUGCGGAUGUUAGAGGUUCAAAGAAGAUCUUGUAGGGACUUCUUAUCAGUACAACGUGGUAAGACUCGAGUCUGUGAAAGCCAAGCUUUUGGGAUCCCCCUCCGAGGGAUAUACACCCACCACACGUCUCUGCCCACCGAUAAUCCUUAGCUUCUACACGCUGGUUAGCCAACCUUUCUCCCCUCUGUUCUGUCGGAAUCGGUUCAGAAUUUGGCGGGGGUUCUCUGCACCUGCCAUGUGUCUCACUACUCCCCAAAACCUAAUCAUUUUUCACUCGAGGGCAUUGUGGUAAAGAAUGACUUCGGGGUAUUGAAUUCUCAUUUUUAUCUAUUUAUUUAUUUUUUAUAUGCUCCCAUUUGUCCUGUAACUAUUCACUUCCAAUAGUUUCAUUGGCCGUGACAAUAACAAUUGAUGGAGAAAACUAAUCAUAGCUUAAAAUAGACUCUAUACAAUUCAACAGUUGGAGUGCGACAUGCAUAACUAAAUGGGCACUGCCUUUUUAAAAGGUCCCCCACCAUCUAAAACAAUAUGACAAUGUCCAUGGACCAAAGUGUGUGAUCAAUUUGGUGGUCUUGCCUUGGAAUAUUUUAGGUUGAGCCGGUUUGUUUUCUCCUAAAUUUUAUUUCACUUUAGUCUUGCAAUCUCGACCACUCUUAAUAUCCAAUUCCCAAGUUGUAUAGCCAGCCAUUAUAAACGAUAAGGACCAGGUGGCUCCCACCUAAAUUAUUCACAACCUGUUUGCCCCAUUUCUCUUGUCAUAUUGUGCCACAGAGACAUGUUAAAUUUAUUGAUUUCAGAUUACUCAAUCAUCAUGAUUUAAUUGUUGGCGGUUCCCAAAAUGUCAUCCAAACAUGAUGGAUUAGUAGAACAAAAAUAAUAAAAAAAAAAAAAAUUAAAAGUAGACUCUCCCCGAUUUGCAAAGUAAACGAUGGCCCUAUUGUGACAAGAAUUUCACAAGAAAAAAAAGUAUCACCAGCUGAUAGCUAUCCUAUGACGUGCAGAAAUGCUUUGCAAAUCACUGUCCAGUCUUCUGCUUAAAUUCAGCCUCCAUAACUGACUAUCCUACGAUAGGCAGUAAUGUUUUGCAAGCCACUGUCCAGUCUUCUGCGUAGAUUCAGCGUCCAUAACUGACUCAUUGAAUUGUAUACAUGACUGCUGCUAAAUAUGUACAUGACCAAGGCUAAAUCCAGGCAAAAAACUUGGAAGAAAAAAUUGGAAAAUAUAUAUAAAAUUCCGAACAAAUCAGCCUAUUUAAUCCAAAAUUUUAGGUUACUAGAUAACUUCAACACUUAAAAUUUAAAAAUUAAUUAAAUAAUAAGUUUUAAGUUAACUAAAAGAUAAUAAGUAUUAAGUUUUAUCAGAUAUCCUCUUAGCUUUUAUUUGUGAGUGAUUGUUAUGGUUAAAAUAAACGUUUCUUUAUUUUUUUUGGGAGAUUUACUAACUGAUUAAAUUUUUAGUUGAAGACUCGUAAGAAAUGUUAAUAAUAGUUAGGUGUAUAGAUUGGUCGUGGUUCCUUUUUCUUGAGUGUGGAAGAAAGUUAGGUUUGAGGGUAACCCUUGAAUUGCAUGUAGAAAGCAAAGAAGCAAAAUGAUUAUAGUAAUUAAGCAUGCACGGAUGUUUUGUGUGUACGAGGGUGCAAGGAAUUUAGGUAGCUCAAACUGACGACAAAAAUUUUACGAUAUAUUAUAGAAAUAUUGCGGAAAUUUUGGAUGUCGGCUGACCGCAAAAUGAAAUGGAGUGGAGAUUAAGCCAGCAAACAAUCGCCCAUAUAUCGGUGAUGUUUUUGUCCACUCCCAUUUUUUGGUGACAUAGAAGAGAAAACGUGCCCAACUGGAAAAAACGUUCUUUUGGUUCGAUGGUUAGAAAUGAAUUAUAACGUUAAAAUGACAAUUCAAUAACUAUUUUGGUUUAAUUUUUUUUUUAUUCUUUUAAAAAAUACUUUAUUUUUAAUCAAUUUCAAUCACAAUUUAAUUGAAGCUCUUUUGAUCUCUUAUUACUCAAAUUUUAUUAGUGAUUGCUAUCAAAAGUUUAUAAAUUUGGGAAUUUGAUAUUAAAGUUGUGGAUUAACUCUAAAUCAUGGUUGAUAAAUUGUUUUAAGGUAUAUAUGUAAUUUAAUUUAAAUUAUUUAAUUAGUAGAAAUUUAAUAAUUUAAAUGAUUGAAAUUAUUAGUUUAAUUUUAAUAAUAGUUUAACAUUAAACAUUAAUUAUAGUCACUUGUGUUUAUAUAUUGAGUUUCAUUUAUAUGCAUUGUUUAAUCUUCAUUUUAUUUACUAACAUUAUAUUAUAAGUUUAAAUGUCUAUUAUAUUUAAAUCACCUAAUUAGUACAUUUUCAAUAAAAACUAGUAAUUUAAUUUAGUAUUUUUAAAUUUAGUAUAGUACUGAAAUUAAAUUAUAGUUAAUUGUUUAUUCAAUUUCAUAUAAUGCAUAGUUAACUUUCAAUUGUAGUUAACUUUAAUAUAAGUUUUAUAUUCAAAUUAAAUUAUAGUCUAUUGUAUAUAAAAUAUCAUUUAUAUAUAUAGUUCUAUAUUUUUAAUUCAUUUAAUUUAAUUACAAGUGUAAGUGCAAGUGGGAGUGGAGUAGUGGGAUGAGAUCCUACUUAGAAGCAUUGUACACUAAUGGAGCAUAAUAGAAACAUUCUAUUGGUUGAACAUAGAUUGCACUUGAGAAAUCCUUGAAGUUUUGAUUUUUUUCGAUUUACUUCACCCUUCAUCCUCACAUCCAAGAUGUCCCAAGAGGAUUUCAAGGUCAUCAUUAUUCAUGAAAUAUGCCUAUAAAUAUAAAAAAAAAACUCAAAGAAAGCAUGAGAAAGUUGGGCAUAUACAAGAUGACAUAUAAUUGCUUAGUUGAAGGGUUCUUUUAAUGAUAUACUCAAACUUAGGAUGUGAUAUUGACCCUAUUUUUAUGCAAAAAUAUGGUAUUAAUAAAAAACCUAUCUAAAAGAACAAAAAAUUUAAACAUCCAUUCACAAUAGUCCUCAAGACAUACAUGCAUUCAUUCAUUCAUCCCUUAGGGCCAUGGGAUGAAAAAAAAAAAAAAUUUACAAAACCAAGUGAGCACACCAUAGUAAGGUUUUAAUAUGCUUUUCCCUAACUCAAGGCUCCAACACUAGUUGUUAGAAUCUUUGGACUUCUUUAUUCUAAGCCUUCGAUCGUUGGGGUGUAUGCAAAACUAUCCUAAAGAUCUCUAAAUUUAUGUAAGGGAAGCAUUCACAAAUUUGAACCUUAGAUUUAGGUGCUCAAAAAACUUUACCUUGGUCUGAAUGUUCUUAGACCAAUUCCAAAUGAUCACAAGUUGACGUGGAUCUUGAAUGCUUUGCGUUCUUUGGUCUAAUGGCUCUCUCUUAGAGAUUAGCUUGAAGAUGGUACAAUCUUCUUUGUGUGGAUGAAAGCUAGAAUUUUUCUCUUUAGAAGACCGAAUAGCAAAGAUUCGAUCUCUAAAUCCUUAAAGGAGUUUAUAUAGGUUUACUUAUAGGCUUAAAUGACCUGAGCCCACCUUGGGCUUGGGUCACUUAACCCUUAAUGCACAUAUAUGAAUAAUAACCUAACUAUCCCUCAAAUAAUGUUCUAUCAAGGGAUAUGAGCUUGAAUAAGGACCAUUAGGAUCCAUAGGAAAGUACUGAAUCCCUCAUAAUCCAAUUCUAAAAUUGACUUAGCAUCUCACCUUGGAUAUCAAAAUUUUUAGUGAAAUAAAUUAUCGCUAAAUUGGUCUUCAAAAAAAUGUGGCUCCCUAAUUGAUAAAAUUUGGGAUCGACAAGUGAUAGGUCUUAAACACAUUUGACAUGUGACAUAUAUUAAAAGGUGGCACAUGGUAAAAUUUGGAUGACUAAAAAAUUUUGUCUUCCAAAUAAAAUUAAAAUUUUCAAUUAUAGUAAAAAGAGAAGUAAAAAAAUAAAUAUUCUCUUGUUGACAAAUUCUUAAAGGAAACAAAUAUGUCAACCGAAGUCAAAAGAGAAUAAAUAACAAAUAAAUAUUCUCUUAUUAGCAAAUUUCUUUAACAAAGAAGACAAGCUGCUAAAAUCAAACAACUAAAUCUUGGAGAGUUCCAAAAUUUAAUUCCUUAAUUUCAACUAUAAACAGGGGUGACUUCCUUCAAUGGAGAGAUUUCUUCGGAUCAACAAAAUGACUCUCAUGGGAAAAGAGGCUUUUGAGGAUUGAAAAAAAUGACUCCACACGGAAACAAGGCUCCAUAAAGAAGAAUAGGCUUCACAAAAUAUCCUUACAAGUCCAAGAAAUCAUAGAAGAACUACAUACAUGAUCUUCGUUGUUCAAUGAAUUCAUUCGGGAACAAGCCACUUGUGGUCCUCGAUUGAUCUCUGAAAUCAAGAAAACGUUUUCAUCGUUGUCUUUCAAAUUGUGAUCAAGGUAAAAUAAUCAGAGAGAUAUAUUCUUUUAUAAAAGAAUAUUACCACAAAAAUUGUACCCCAUAAUUUAUUAAUUUUAAUAAAAUAUUUUGUUUCGCAGAUUUUUCCUAUUGUUUUGCUUACAUUAUAGAACUUUCAUGAAAUUUGUGCAUAUAAAUUUCUAGCACGAUUGUUGGAACCUCUUUGCCUCUCAUCUCUUUUUCCAAAAAGGUGAUCACUACCAAGACAAUGACAUUUAAAAAGGCUGAAGUUACACAUGUUGACAAGGGUGAUGCCAAGAUUGUCAUUACCCAAUCAACAUAUAGCAACUUUAUCAACCUUAUCACAUGUAGCAAAGCAAAAUUGACUACUGCACCACUAACAAAGUUAGCAAGCGAGCACACUUGUUUGUUAAAAACAACGGAGACGUAUGACAGUUACCAACUAGUCAUCACCUUGGCCUCUUUGGGGCCAAAGGGAUAGAGUUUUCAUGGUAGGGAAAAAUACCAUUCAACAAUGAAGGACUUUGAGGAUAAGUCUCUAUACUCUAUUGUUGAUGCUAGCUCAACCACUUGCUCACCAAUUGGGGAGUUAAAGUAAAACAAUCCCUUUGACCAUUCUAGUUUUUUCACUUCUUUAUUCUUGAUGACCAUGUUGGUAAUGGCUACUGGCAUUACAUCUGUGGAAGAACAACUAGUAGAAAUGGCUUGUGCCAUCGAUAAACUCACCAAGACUAUAUAGGAGAAAGAUCUACAAAUAACCUCUUUCAUAAACAAGGUCGAGGCACAAGCACAAAACACAUUGAGUCAAAUUAAGGACUCACUCACCCCUCGAGGAUCGCAUCUCCAAGUGAUGUACCACAUGUGUCUAAGUCGGUGUAAGUCGAGAGACAAACUGUUGAAUCUGCCUCGAUGGCAUCGUUGUCUAUCCAAAAACUUUAGGACAUGAUAACUAACACCAUCGGAGAGCAUUAUGGUAGACCCUCAGAAAGUACACUUAUUUACUCUAAGCCUUACACCAAGAGGAUUGAUAACCUAUGUAUGCCUGUAGGUUAUCAACCUCCACAAUUUCAAUCAUUCAAUUGGAAAAGGAAAUUCAAAGCAACAUAUUUCCCACUUUGUCCAAACUUGCAAUAAUGCAAGCAUGGAAGGUGAUCUAUUGGUAAAACAAUUUGUUUGAUCUCUCCAAGGGAAUGCCUUUGAUUGGUUUAUAGACCUUGCACUUGAGUGCAUUGACAAUUGUAAUCAAAUGGAGCGUGAAUUCCUCAACCUCUUCUAUAGCACCUUAUGAGCACUAACCAUGAUGGAGCUUACCAAUACAAAGUAAUGGAAAGAUGAGUCGGUUGUUGACUACAUCAAUAAUUGGCGCUCCUUAAGUCUUGAUUCUAAGAAUAGAUUAUCUGAGGUUCAGUUGUGGAAAUGUGCAUAUAAGGAAUGCAUUGAGGUCUUUUGUAUAUCCUCCAAGGAAUACGACCUUACACCUUCGAAGAAUUGGCUACUUGGGCACAUGACAUAGAACUCAGCAUAGCCAACCAUGGUGUAACGAAAGAUCCUAUCAUCGACCAACAAAGGGAGAUAAAUGAUGGGAAAAUGUGUGACCUGACCUCAAAGAAACCUGUCCAGGAGUCAAUGAUGGUAAAUACGACUCCCAUUAAAAUUUUAGUAAGAGAUAAAAAGGAGGUAAAAGAGGUUGCAUCAACCCAAGAAAAUGAGAAGUGUCGGUUCACCUUGAAGGAAUUGGAGGAGAAGAAAUAUCAUUUUUCUGACUCUAAUGUGCCUAGCAUGUUGGAAGAUUUGCUCUAUAAAAAGGUUAUUGAAAUACCUGAGUGCAAGCGCUCGAAAGAAAUGGGUUGUGUUGAUGAUCUGACUACUAUCGUUACCACCAAAUUGUUAUCCACCCGGUGGAAAAAUGUUUCAUCUUAAAAGAACUCAUAAUGAAACUUGCUAGACAAGGAGAACGUUAAAUUUUUUAUUUUUUUGCUUUCGUUACAUAGGAUCUAAAGGCUUAGGGUAGUUUGCAUGCACCUAUACAAUCCAGAGUAUGGGAACGAAGAGAUCUAGGGGUCCUAGUAAGACCAAUUAGACAUAUUAGAGAAUUGAUUGAUUAGACUAGUGGGUUAACUUUUUUUUUAAAAAAAAAAUUGAGCCAUUUUAAGCAACAUUAACCAGUAUUGAACUAGUAGAUCGACUAAUUAGAUUGGAAAAUUGAUUAAUUAGAUUAACGGUUUGAUUAAAAUGAGAAAAGGGGAGGAGAGGGGAAUUAGAUUUUGACCAACAGUAGAAAACAACUUUUCCCCUCUUUAAGUACCCUAUCUGUUUCCACAUCCUAACUAGGUUAACAACAUCUCUUAUCUAUUAGGAUAAAAUAAUAAAAUAUAAAGCUAAUGAAAUGUGAAUAAAAAGAUAAUAAAUAUGAAGUUAAUUGAUGUAAAAAAAAUUAUUUUAUUUUAUUUUUAUAUAUGAAAUAUCUUCUUAACAAUAAAAUAUUAUAAUUUUUUUAUUUAAUUAAAUUAAAAAUAUUAAUAUAUUUACAUUUUAUAUGAUUUAAUAGUAGUAUAUAAAAGAUAAAAGAAUGAAAUAUUUAAAAAUUUUAAUUAUUUAUAUUUAAUUCUAAUUUCUCAUAAUUACUUUUAAUUUUAAUUUUAUAUAUAAUAAUAAUAAUAAUAAUUAUAAUAACUUUUUCGGUUUAGUGAUUGGUUGAGUUUUAAAAACAUUAAUUCGGGUGUUUGGAGAACAUAUUUAGAGAGUAAAAAAACUCUUAGUCCUCUCAUAUAAAUUUUCAUUUAUUAAGAAUUUUUGGAUAAUUGAUAAGAUGGUGUCACGUAUAUAUAAAAGAUUCAUAGGAGAAAUAUUUGGUAACAACUGUAUGUGCCCUACCUGCUAAGUGAUUCCUUUUUCUCUUAAUUUGAGUAAAAUAAGUUGAACAAUAUUUUGACCAACUUGUUUUGAUGAGCCUUAAUUGAGCAACUAAACGAAGACUUUCAAUCAACUUUUUUAGAAAUAGAGUAAGCAGAGGAGAGGGGGGAGACUUAAGGUUUGAUAGGUGUGAAGAAGGUGAGGACAUUUUCAUCCCAUCACAUACAAUUUUUUUAGAAAAGAAAAAGGAAAAAGGAAAAUGGUAUUUAUCACCUAAAAAAGAAAAGAAACUGUUAUGAACAUAUAAGAGCAUGGUAUGAGGUGUGGGGGGCCCUAUUCCAACGACAAGGCAGAGAGAACCCCUGUUUUCUUAACCAGAAGGAGGAGCUCUCAGUUGGAUUGUCAAAUAAGCAGACCAGCUACCCUCAUUGAGUUAUGAUGUUAUAAUGAAAAGGAAACAGAGCAGAGAAGAGAAGAAGAAACAGAGCUAUUAUGAAAAGGAAACAAGAGCAGAGAAGAGAAGAAGAAACAGAGUGCUCAUUUCAUUCUCAUUCAUCAUACAGAGAAAUAUGAGUAGCAAGGUUCUUGGUACAGGGGGCGGGCAAAAAGAGUACUGUAAAUAAUCUGUAACUAACUCCAGCUCAUCUCUUAGAAAAAUACAAAAGCAGCUGUCUAACUAACAGGACUUUUAUUCUUACAUCUAAGAUCAUCUUAAUAGAUGUGGCUUGGAAUUGAUAUGGUAUACUUGGAUCAAAUCUUACUUAUAGUGUUGACUACUCCAUCUGCAUCAUUGAAAUCUUCAAGGCGAAUAGGGGAUGGAGUUGUGCAGGGAGGCAUGUAAUCAGGAGGUGGAAGGAGACUAGUUUCUGGUGUGCCACCAUCCUUCACUAUGAAAACAGUGGCCAUACCCCAUGUGAAAUGCCGAUCCAAAUGACAAUGCCAUAGCCACACACCUUCAAGAAAAUCAUCCACACAACCAGUUUCGAAAAUUAGCAUCUAUGAUUCAUCUAUAAAAGGAGUGGAUGAAAAGUUGAGGAAGAACAUACCUGGGUUGUCAACUCUAAGUCUGAUGGCAACCCACCCAUUCUUAGGAACUCUAACCGUGUUUUGUUCAGGUGGAUCAACCAAGUUAUAGCCUUUAGGAUCAGCCACAGGGUCGAAAUUUCCAAAACCCAUGCCAACCACAAAAAAGGUAAAUCCAUGCAGAUGAACUGGAUGAUCUUCAGCUGACAAUAGCAAAUUUGUUCCCUGGAAUACAAUCUCCAAUGUUUCAUUGUAAUUCAGCACCUUCACCUUGGUUGCUGGCUUCGUUAUGGCAGAAGGCAAAUCGUCCUCACCAGUGAAGUCAAAAAAGGAAGGCGGGUCGUCUGGAAAAUCUGUGGUGUAAACCCCACUUAUGUGCCUGAAAUUAAGGAUUUGGAAUCAUUAGGAAGCAAAUAUUAAAGUCCAUGUUUUUUAGUAGUAGGCAACAAAGGUAUACCUGUAGUAGGCAUCCAAUAUACUAGAACUGGGAUCCAUGAAACUUAUGUUGUUCAAGGUGGAAGCAAUAUGGUUGACUAUAAUUCCCUCAAAUGUAUAGCUGACCAGAUUAAUUGAAGCUGUUAUGAACAUUCUGGUAGUUACAUUUUGGGGCACAUUUGCUGGGUGUUCUGGGCUUGCUAAGCUCCUGAGCUUGCUGGUGAAGUUAUAUCCAGCAUCUAAUUGGUAAAAAGUGGGAAGCGUAGUGGGAAGGGAAGGCGAAGCUGGUGGGGUGUAGUUGCCUCUAUACUGAAGUAUUGCGGUAGCGGUCAUAUUGGUAAAGUCAGGUAUACUUGGGUCAAUGGUGACAAAUUGUCUUAUAGCCAUGUAAUAGUAACUUGGGGUUUGGUUUGUUGUGAUCAAGACAUCCAUGGUUUGUCCUGGGGUGAUCAUUAAGUAAUUGGUAACUAAUGGUUUGGUGUAGGUUCCAUCUGUGCCAACGACUGUCAAGUUGUGCUCAGAAAUAGCAAAGAAGAGUUCUGAAUUCAUGACUGCGUUCACUAUGCGAAGAAGAUAGGUCUUGCCAUAAUCCACAACCAAACUGUAUGCUGGCUCUGCCACACAGGAAACAAACAUGGUGAUCAUCAGAUCUAAAUUUAUAAAUGUACAACGACUUGAAAUUCCUCUUCAACUUUUUUCAUAUAUAUGCAUAAGUCUGUUAGAAAUGUUAACUAGUUAUACGCUUAAUUACAUACCACUAGAGCAUGCGACUAGAUCUCCAGGAAAGCCAUUGAUGGUGUAAGCAUCGGAUUCGGGUGUAGUAGCCUCAUAAUGGAUCAGGUCAUACUCAAGCUCCGCGUUCUGGUCUGCAUCAUACCAACAUGCUGCAGGUACAUGAUCAUGAGAAGCUGCUCUUCCUAAAAAUAUACAAAAUCAUAAAUUUUGAUGAAAAUAUUUGCAUACCCAAUACAAUAACUUCUUCGCCAUCAGGCUGGGGAAAUGGAUAGGUGGUUCCUUCAGCUGGCAAAACCACGAUGGCACCGUGCACAGUGGCCCGUGUCCAGUCACUAUGGGCAUGCCACCAAAGGGUUCCUUCCUGAUCUUCACUAAAUAUCACCUUCUGUGUGAAGCUUGUCCCUGGUUGAAUCUGGCACUGCGUGAUGUGAUCUGGGCCAUCUGACCAUGGAUUCCUUGGCUGCUUCACUCCAUGCCUAAUAACAAAAAUGACAUCUAUAACAUUUAUUCUUCAGCUUUGACGUCUUAUUAGUUAUUAGUUAGUUCCUUCAUCUUCUAAGAAUGUAGGCAAAACUCCAAUUCUUUUAUCUAGUUUAUAUGGGGAGUGUCAGUAUGAGAAAGAGAUUCAAGUGUCCUCACCAAUGAAUGGUGACGCCAUGACUCCCUUCAUUCUGAACAUUGAUAAUAGCCGUAUCGCCUGUGUGAACAUAAACCACUGGCCCUGGGAAGCUCUCAUUUACAGUCAGCAUGGUCUUUGUGACACACAGCCUUGUGAAAUUGGUGUCCUUGAGCUACAAGAAGACCAGCAAAAUGGAAGAAUAUGAGUAUAUUAAAAAAAAAAAAACUAAAUAACAAACAAGGUCCAUAGAUAUCAGAAAAGCGGGCAAGAAGGAUCCAUUGAUUAAUUUAACCAAGGCAGUGCCAAAAGCGUAACUCACAACAAAAUCAUAGUAGUGCGUAUCCCCUUCAGCAAUCCUGCAGACAAGCAUCAAUCCACUCAAAAGUACAAGAAGCAGCAACUGUACGGAAGAUUCCAUUUUCUCCAACGCCAUUAUUUCUGCACUCUCCCUCUUCUAAUGUACGUCUACUGAGAGGAAGGAGGCCAGUUAAAAUUUAGCUCCUAAAUGCUACUUCAUUUAAACCAAGUGUCUAUAAGAACAACGGUUGGUCCUGAGUUAGUUGGAGUGGCCCAGGUUUGCCUUUGGUUGAUUUCUUGUUGUUUGAAGGAAAAAAUAAGAGAAAUUUGAAGGAAAAAAUCAACUCAAAAGUUAUCUUAAUCUAAUCGUAUUUACGAGAUACAAUUUGAAAGAAUUUUUAAGUUUUUGAUAUAUUGAAAUUACCUACUCAAUUAGGUGAAAAGUGAGUUUUAAUCCACUAAUUUAAAAUAUAUAUAUAUAAAGCCUUAAAAUUUAUAAAUCAUAUUAUCAAGUAAAAUGAUAUUUUAGGAAAAAAUUAUUUGAUUUAUAAAAAAGUGUAUAUAUUUUAAAAUAUUUUUAAAUGAAUGAAAGAUAAAAUUAAAAUUCAAUUUUAUAUAUAUAUAUAUAUUUUAAAUAGUGAGUCAAACCCACUUUUUCUGUGAUUUUUUGUUUGUUUCUUUUGAAAUACAUGAAUGUUUGCUAGAAGUUGGACUAGGCUCCUUUGCCCACCUUUUGGAGAGAUAUUUAGUUUGCUGCUAGGCUUGAUGUCUGCCGGAAUCCUUACCAUGUAGUAAAAGGUAGUUGUAGUUUGACAUAUUGUGAAUCACAUGUAGGAAUUCUUUUAAUCACAUGUGGGAAUCCUUUUUGAGUCACAUCAGCAUAAUCUUGACUGAUGGAUGUGACCCUGUUGUUGAGAUAUUAGAAAUGCUUUCCAUAUAUCAUUAUUUCUUUAUAUUAUUUAGUGUUGAGAUAUUAAGAAUGUUUAAAUAUUAGGAAAGUUGAGAUAUUAAGAAUAUUGAGAUAUUAGGAAAGUUGAGAUAUUAGGAUAUUAGUUGUUAUUUCCUUAUAUCAUUCUUUCCUUGUAUCAUUCAUUCCCAUUCUUAGAAUGGUGAUUACCCUCUAUAUAUACUCUGUACAUGAACGAAUGAAAGUAUGAAUGGAAAAAACUACCAUUUAUCAAUUUGAAGAUGGUAUCAGAGCAAUGGAACUGAAAUCCUGAAUAUUUUGUCUCUAUGGUAGUCCGACAAUGAUCAUCCAUCCUAAGACAAGCCCUAAUAUUGAUAAGUCAACCUUUAAAUGCACUCAUUGCAAUAAGAUUGAUCCCACCAAUCUGGAUAUCCCACAAUUUCAAAGCAACGACUCUUGGUAUGAUCAAGAAAACAAUGAGGAACCGAGGGUUUGAACCAUGGACCUUUAGAUCAUGUUUAGGCUAUCAACACUUUGUUAUUAAUGAUAAUAAUCGUGAUCAACGAAAGAAGGAUUCCAAGAAAACCUCGAUUGCAAGUGUUGCCGAAAUAAAAACAGAAACUAAUGUUGCUGAGAAAGCCUCUGCAUUGGUAGCCGCUAUAGAUCAUGGUGGUAAGUUUUUAAAUACUUUUACACCUGUUAUUAAUAGUGCAUGGAUAAUUGAUUCUGGUGCUACAGAUCAUAUGACUUUUGAUUCUAGACAGGUUUCACCCCUUAGACCUUCCUCACAAAAAAUUGUUUCCACAGCCAAUGGUAACACAACCCUAGUCAUUGGGGAAGGAUCAUUAACUCUUACUGAUACUUUGAAUUUGGAUUUUGUUUUAGUUGUUCCAUCUUUAGAUUACAAUCUUUUGUCAGUUUCUCAAAUCACCGCAGUCUUAUCUUGUAUUGUCAUUUUUUGGCCUGAAUUUUGUGUGAUUAAGGACAUCCAAACAAGACAGACGAUUGGUUGUGGUAUUAAGCGGGGAAAACUCUAUUACUUGGACUUGCAGUCAAAGGAUUCAAAUAAGUUGCAACAAGCCUUGAUGGCAGAUGGAUCUGAGGGUGAGAAGAAAAAGUCUGAAAUUUGGUUGUGGCAUCGACGUCUGGGACAUGCUUCCUUUGGUUAUUUAAAAAAAUUGUUUCCUAGUUUGUUUGCAAAGAGUGAUAUUUCUGGUUUCCGUUGUGAUAUUUGUGAAUUGGAUAAAAGUCAUCGUGUUUUGUUUCCGUUAAUUUUGAAGAAAAGUCUAUUUCCUUUUAUGGUUAUACAUUCUGAUGUUUGGGGCCCAUCCAAAGUCCCAACUUUGAGUGGCUCACGUUGGUUUAUUACUUUUAUUGAUGAUUAUACCAGAAUGACAUGGUUAUGCUUGAUGAAGACCAAAGAUGAAGUGAACUUGUUGUUUCAAAAAUUUCAUAAAAUGAUUGAAACUCAGUACAAUGCAAAGGUUCGGGUUCUGCAUAGUGACAAUGGUGGAGAAUAUCAAAGUUUUGAUCUUCAAAAGUAUUUGGAAGGACAUGGCAUCAUUCAUCAGACUACUUGUUCCAAUACACCCCAGCAAAAUGGAGUCGCUGAACGGAAAAAUCGGCACUUGUUAGAGGUUGUUCGUGCUUCCUUGAUAACAGUAAAAACAUCGAUAUUUUAUUGGGGAGAAGCAAUCACAUCUGCCGCAUACUUGAUCAAUCGGGUACCUUCCAACUCAAUUAACUUCCAAACACCUCUCCAAACUCUUACUAAUGCUGUAGUUGCCCCAACUGUCCCAAAUUUACCUUCUCGUGUUUUUGGUUGUGUGGCAUUUGUGCAUCUACACAAACACCAACGCACCAAGUUAACUUCCCAUGCAUUGCAAUGUGUGUUUGUUGGAUAUGCAUUGCACAAAAAGGGAUAUCGAUGUUACCAUCCUCCAACUCGACAAAUGUAUAUUACAGUGGAUGUGGUGUUUCAUGAAGAUUCGAUGUAUUUUUCAUCUGAGUCUGAACUUCAGGGGGAGUACCAUAAGGAAAUUCAGACUGUCGAUUAUGAUUAUCAUAUCUCUGAGGAGAAUGAAUCUGGACAAUCUGAACUAGUGAACCAAGAAGCGGGUGAGUUGGAUAUGAGUGGUCAACAAUUUGGGUCCGAAGAUGUAUUUACUGAAAUACCAAACCAAUCGUCGUAUGUUGAAGGUGUUCUUAAUUUGGAACCUGAUCCAUUCAUGAAACGGUUACCACACCGUCAUAAUAGAGGUAUUCCUAAACCCACAUAUGAACCUGAAUUGUCUACCAAAGUCAAAUAUCCCAUGAGCAACUAUGUGUCUAACCAUCGUUUCUCUGAAUCAAAUAAGUCAUUUGUAAAUCAAUUAUCUACUGUAGCUAUUCCUAACAGUGUGCAGGAAGCCUUAGCUGAUCCAAGGUGGAAAGCAGCUAUGAAUGAAGAGAUGAAAUCAUUGCAGAAGAAUGAAACAUGGGAACUCGUAGAAUGUCCACCAGGAAAGAAGCCAGUUGGGUGUUGUUGGAUCUAUACUGUGAAGUGCAAGGCAGAUGGUAGUAUUGAACGAUUUAAAGCAAGACUGGUAGCAAAAGGGUACACUCAAACUUAUGGAAUUGACUACACAGAGACAUUUGCACCUGUAGCUAAGAUCAACACAGUUUGAGUAUUACUGUCUUUAGCUGCAAACCUAGAUUGGCCAUUACAACAGUUCGAUGUGAAAAAUGCCUUUUUGCAUGGUGAGUUAUCUGAAGAAGUAUAUAUGGAUCUUCCACCAGGAUGCAUGGUGUUAGAAAAGCAAUGUCAGAAGGUGUGCAAAUUGAAGAAGUCAUUGUAUGGGUUGAAGCAAUCCCCGAGAGCAUGGUUUGGAAGGUUCACAAGGUCAAUGAGAGCUUUUGGCUAUCGUCAAAGUAAUUCAGAUCACACUUUGUUCCUGAAAAAGCAACAUGGUAAGAUUACCGCACUCAUCGUAUAUGUGGAUGACAUGGUAGUUACAAGAAAUGAUCCUGAAGAAAGAAAAACUCUGCAAAAUUAUCUAUCUAGAGAAUUCGAAAUGAAAGAUCUAGGUCAUCUGAAAUACUUUCUUGGGAUUGAAGUUUCUCGAUCAAGUGAAGGAAUUUUUCUGUCUCAAAGAAAGUAUGCCUUAGAUCUUUUACAGGAGACUGGAAUGUCGGGAUGUCAACCUGUUAAUACACCAAUAGAAGAAGGUCUGAAAUUGUGUGUUGAGCCUAAUCAAGUAUCACCCGAUAAGGGAAGAUACCAGAGACUUGUGGGGAGAUUAAUGUACUUAGCUCAUACAAGACCAGAUCUUGCUUAUGCAUUGAGUGUAGUGAGUCAAUACAUGCAUAAUCCUGGAGAGCAACAUAUGAAUGCAGUUAUGCGUAUUUUGAGGUAUUUGAAGAAUGCUCCUAGGAAGGGAAUUUUGUUCGCUAAAAAUGUUAAUCAUCAGAGUAUAGAAGUAUAUACUGAUGCUGAUUGAGCCGGUGCAGUGGAUGAUAGGCGAUCUACAUCUGGUUACUUUACCUUUGUAGGUGGUAAUCUUGUGACAUGGAAAAGUAAGAAGCAGAAUGUCGUCGCUCGUUCAAGUGCAGAAGCAGAAUUUAGAGGUAUGGCUCUAGGACUUUGUGAGGCAUUAUGGCUAAGACUUCCCUUAUAGGAUUUAGGUUACCUAUCUAGGCAACCAAUCCAAUUGUUUUGUGACAAUAAAGCCGCAUGUGACAUUGCUCAUAAUCCAGUACAACAUGAUCGUACAAAGCAUGUCGAGGUGGAUAGAUUCUUCAUUAAGGAAAAGUUGGAUGAUAAGAUUGUGGAAUUGCCAAAGAUUCGAUCAGAAGAUCAAUUGACCGAUAUCCUCACCAAAGCUGUCUCAAGUCAAGUGUUCUCAAAAUUUUUAGACAAGUUGGGCAUGUGUGACAUCUAUGCACCAACUUGAGGGGGAGUGUUGAGAUAUUAGGAAUGCUUUCCGUAUAUCAUCAUUUCCUUAUAUUAUUUAGUGUUGAGAUAUUAGGAAUGUUUAAAUAUUAGGAAAGUUGAGAUAUUAAGAAUAUUGAGAUAUUAGGAAUAUUGAGAUAUUAGGAAAGUUGAGAUAUUAGGAUAUUAGUUGUUAUUUCCUUAUAUCAUUAUUUCCUUGUAUCAUUCCUUCCCAUUCUUAGAAUGAUGAUUACCCUCUAUAUAUACUCUGUACAUGAACGAAUGAAAGUAUGAAUGAAAAAAACUACCAUUUAUCAAUUUGAAGACCUGCAACUAACUUUUUGAUCUCUGGUUCAUCACCCAUUGAAAAAUUAAUUAAUGACUUAUUUGACAGUGAGAAUGAAAAAAUAAAAAAGUAUUUUUAUUUAAAUUGAAAUGAGAAUAAUGUACAGACUUUUAUUCGAGCAUGUCAUUGGAAAUUGUUUAAUAAAGAAAUAGUCAUUUCUAGCAUAAAUAUUUGAGGAUGUAAUUCAAAAGCAGAUUUAAAAUUUUUUUAAUAUAUUUUAUGGUUGUUUUUUUUAUUCUUUCUAAUUUUUAAAAAUAAUUUAGAAUUAAAAAAUUGAUCUAAUUAAUUGCGAAUACUUUUUCCGUUGUUGAGUAUUACAUGUAAUGAAAAACUUAAUCAUUUACGUGUCAAAAAUAAAAUAAUUUUAUUUAUUUUAAAUAAAAAAAUUAUCAACAAUUAUUAUUUUUAAAUUAGUAUCAUUCAUUUUUAACCAAAAAAGAAAAGAAAAAACAAUUAUGUUUUUAGAUGUUCAUAUCCAUAUUUUUAUAAUAUAUACUAUAAUAAUAUAUUUUUAUAAAAAUAUAAUUUAUGAUUUUAUUAUAAUAUUACUAUCAUAUUUUACUAAAAAUAUUUAUUUAUAAUUAAAAAUCUAUCAUGGAAGGAAUCUUAGAGAGAACCAAGGGAAAAAGGUGUGGUAUAGAAAUGUAUGCCUGAACCAUAGUUUUGAGAAGUCGACAUCUUUGAAUGGCAAGCACCUCAAUAUUUAAUAUAUUAUAUAAUUUAAUAUAUUAUAUAAAAUUAAAAUUAAUUAUAAGAAAUUAGAAAUAUAAAUAUAAUUCAAUUUUUUUUAAAAUAUUUUAUCUUUUAUAUUUGAUUUCAUGGAAUGAAACGAUGAUAACUUUAAAUAUAAAUGUAUUAAUAUUUUUAAUUUUAUUUAAUAAAAUAUAUAUAAUAGUUAAAUAUAAAGAUAUAUUUAAGAUAAAAGGAAAAAUAUAAUAUUCAAUUCUAUUUAUAUAUUAAAAAUUAAAGAUUUUAUUAUUUUAAUACUUUUCAUUAUAAAAAUAAAUAUUCACUUAAACAUUUAUGUUUAUUUAAGAAUUUAAAUUAAUGAAACUUCAAAAGAAAACAAAAACAAAAAAUGAAAAUCAAAGAUUACGUUAUUUGGUUUUUGUAAUAGUUUGCAUAUAGCCCAAUGGUAGAUAUUUCCUUAGUUUUGUGCUGCAACCCAUGUUGAUUCCCCCAUGCUGCUGCCACUUGCAUUUUCUAUCCAUCUAACGCAUCCCACAUCAGAAAUUGACAUAAAAUAUUUCUUCCUAUAAAUAUAGAUGAGCUUAAGAUGAAAUUAACAAAGCAUUUGGCCCAUUAGCAGUGGGCUGAACUGGGGAUUAGCCUCUAGGCCCACUCAGUGUUGCCAUACCCCAUGUGAAGUGUCGGUCCAAAUGACAAUGCCAUAGCCAUACACCUGCAAAGUACCAUCCUUAUUAGUUAUUGAGUAUGUUUGGUAGUGAUUCUAAGAAGUGUUUCUAGUUUUUUUAACACUUGAAAUUUUUAUCUUUCAAAUAUAAAAAAGACUAAAAAUACUUCAUAAAAUCACUAUCAAACGAACUCUGCAUAUUAAUAUCUAUAUCAAUCACACAAAAUCUUAAAUAUAAGAAAAUGUACACAAACUUAUGGGAUUGAAUGUGUCUACUUCCUAAGGUCUUAGAUUGGUACCGUCUAUAAUCAUCUUCUAUAUUCUUAAUUCAACACUCUCUUGUGCUCCUUCGAAGCUCUUAUGGAUUUUAUAAGGAAAAUCGUUAACCUUUGUUGAAGUUGAAGUUGUAAGGUACUUUACAACAUAUCUCAAAAAUUUGAGAGUUAGACAUUCAAGGGACUUUUGAUAAGAGUAUGGUAAUUUUUUAAAAAAAAAUUUUUAAAUUACCAUAGUAGGAAAAAUAAUUCCAAAUCUACAAUAGUUUUUGCCAGGUAGGAGAGAAGGAGAGUUGUUUUCUUUUUUUUCAACUUGGAAAUCGUCUUUUGAAAAGACGAUUUCCACCAAAAAAAAAUAAAAAAUUAAUCCCUAAAAAAUCAUCUUUUGAAAAGAUGAUUUCCACCCUAACAAACAUAAAAAAAAAUUAACCACUCAAAAAUCGUCUUUUGAGAAAACGAUUUCCACCAAAACAAAUAUAUAAAAAAAAUUAACCACUCAGAAUUCGUCUUUUGAGAAGACUAUUUCCACCAAAACAAAUAUAUAAAAAAAAAAUUAACCACUCAGAAAUCGUCUUUUGAAAAGAUGAUUUCCCUAAAAAGACAAAAACAAAUUUAUUUAAAUGGAAAUCGUCUCCCAUGAAAUCAUCUCUUCACCACCCAAAUUUCAAACUUUUAUACAUUUUGAUAUCUUUAAUUAUCUCCAUAUUAUAAAAACAAAUAAUAAAAUUUAAUAUAAAAAUAUAUUAUAAUAACCAAAUUUAUCUUUCACUAUUUGAUGUAAUGCAGCAAUUGAAAUUGUGUGAUCACUUUGGACUACAUUUUGAACUUCUCGUGCAAUAAAUAUGGAGUCUAAUUGUGAGUGGUCUUGUGAUAGUUUAGGGUAAACACAAGUGUGAGGACCUAUGUACUUUGUUAUCUCAAACAAACCAUGAGAUUUAGGACGACAUGCACAAAGCCUCUAAUUACAACCCUCAGACUAUUUUUUACACUUUACAGCUUACAUAUCUGGCUCAGAUUCAAUAACAAUCAAAUGUUGAUUCCUACAUAUGGAAUGACAUUUAACAACAUAUUAUAAGUCUACCUUACUCUCAAAUCGCAAACCCUUAAACAAUUCAUCUGAUUCAUUCCAUAAGUCAGUGUGUGCUAUUAAAUCCUUGUCAGCCAUGGAGUUAAUUACAUCCCAAUUCAAUUCUCUAAUAUUGGGGAAAGGACAUCAUGUUCACCACCACCUAGCAAUGAUGCAUCAUUUUCUGUAUUUUCAUUAUCCUCCAUGUCCAUAAUAUCCUCAUUACCAUCAUCUUCAUCAAAUAACUCCACAUUGUCAUCAUCAUUUUCAGGUAAAAUAUCAACAUAAUUUCCAACUGUCAUUACAAUUGAAUCACUAACCCCCGCCAUAUCUACCCUAACUAUAGGUUCCAUGUCAUUAUCAUAACUUUGCAUAUACAUAAGGGAAGAUGUAUUCUCUUUUACCAUUUGUUGACUUGGACCUAGACUUUCAAUAUGCAUUGGGAUGGUAAAGCUACUAAGCAUGGGGUGAUAAUUAAUGGAAGAAGUUUGAAAAUACAUUUCAAUAGUAUUUGGAGGAGGAGAUUGUGCAACAACAGUAAACAUUAUUCUUACAUCACCAUCAUGUCGAAUAGGCAAAGGGACAUAAUUAACAGUACCCCUUCCAUUUGGAAAGGGAACUGGAUAUCGGAACACCAUAUUUAACUUGGUGUAAGUACGAUUAAUAUUCAGAGCAUGACACAAUUUUGUUUCUAACUCAUCAAAUGUUAUCAUACUAUUGAUUGAAACACCUUUCUUAGGAGGACGAUUAUAACAUACCCCAAAUUCACAAUCAAUAAUUUCACCCCUGGUAUAACACAAUACUGUGGUAUAACCGUCCAUUAUCAAACCUAUUCAAAAUAUCAACAAAGAAGUAUCAUUAUCAAUAAACUUUAUGAUAAUAAUUGAUAUACAAUAUGUAUUUUGCAAAUCUAUUUUACUAAUAUUAUGGUGCAUUGUCCAUUACAAUAUAUUUCUUUUCUUUUUAAAAAUGGAUAAUUAAAUGUAUAUAAUAUAACAUUUUAAAUGUACAUUUACAUAUUAUAUAAGAUAAGACCAACUCUCGGAUAAUGUUCUACUUAUAUUUCUUAUAUUUUAAUAUUUUUUAAAUAAUAUUGUGUGCAAAAAAAAAAAAAAAAUACUAACAACCAUUACUAAAUUUAUUUAUUUUAUUUUAUUAUAUAUUCUAACAUUUUGCAAUUAUAUAUUUCUUUUCUUUUUUAAAAUGGAUAUUGAAAUGUAAAUAAUAUUUUAAUAUUUUAAUAUAUAUUAUAUACCUUUAAUACUCAUGGUUACUAUUUUAUAUUGUACACAAUUACUUUAUAUAUAUAUAUAUAUAUAUUAUACAUUAAAAUAUCCAUUUAAAUAAAUCAAAUAAUAUUUUAGUUUCAUUUCUACUUUUAUUUAUUUUUUAUUUUUAUUUCUCAAUAUCUUACAAGAAUUUUUUCAAUAAUUUAAGACAAAUCUUAAUUUUUAUAAAAUAUAGAAGAUAAAUUCAUAAUUUCGGAUAAUGUUCUACUUAUAUUUCUUAUAUUUUAAUAUUUUUUAAAUAAUAUUAUAUGCAAAAAAAUAAUUUAACACUAUGUAGACCCCAAAAUUUGUCCCAAUUUUAUUUUUACAUUAACUUUGAACCCAAUUUUAAAUCCCGAUUACAUGUGUUAUUUUUUGGCCCACUCACCCUUUUAAUUCUUAAUUUUUAUUAUUUUGUAAAUUGUUUUACUUUUAUUUCUAUUUGUUAUUAUUAUUAUAUUAUAUUUUUAUAUUUUAUUUAUCACUUUCUGUCUCCUCUCUUCCUCUCUUCCUUCUUCCAUUCCCCCCCCCCCCGGCUUUUUUCUCCCCAUUUGACCCUCCACUUUCUCCUCCCAUUUCCCAAGAACAACAGCCCCCAAUUCCCAAGAAAAUGCCUCCAUUUUUCCCCCAAUUUUUUCCCUUCAUUCUCUCUCGACAGCCCACCUCUCUCUCUUGGGAUUUUUUUUCAUUUUUUAUUUUUUCCUCUCCCACAUUCUCAAAAAAGGAACAGGACGACCACCAUUUUUUCCGAUUCCCCCCCCCUCCAUUCUCUUUGACGCUGCAAUUCCCAACCGGCCGCCCCCUGUUUUUUUUUUUUUUUUUUUUUUUUUCAUUUUUUUUUCUGCUUCCCUUUUCCAAAACACCCACACAGUCGGCUCCCCAUCUUCCCUCAUCAUUUUUUUUCUUUCUUCCAAUUCCCACACGCGCCAACCCCUAGAUUUUUUCCCUUUUCCAUCUUCCUCCCCAACUCACACACACGACCGACCCCCAUUCCUUUUCCAUUUUCUUUCUCCCAUUUUUUUUCAUCUUCCUUUUAUUUUAUUUUAUUUUUGUUUCCCAAAAACUCAUCAUCCCUCACUGUCGUCGGUAGGAUCACCGGUCAAUCUCCUCCGGUGAGCCCCUGUCGGCCGGCGACCUCCUCCAUUUUUCUCUCAUCCUCUCAUUUUCCCGUAUCACUCAUCUCCCAUUAUUAUUAUUAUUAUUAUUAUUAUCAUUAUCAUUAUUAUUACUAUUUCUUUAUUUUUCUUUAUUUGAUUUUAAUAGUAAUUGUUAUUGAAAUUGGGCUUGUGCUAUGUUUGUUUGUGGGCAUUAUGUUUAGGCUUUGUUAAUUAAUGUGAAAUUUGAGUUAAUUUUUUAUUGUUAAUUAAUAUGAAAUUUGGGUUAAUUUAUUGUUGGUAAAUUAAUUUGAAAUUUGUUAAUUUGGGUUUAUGGGAUUAAUUUAGGAUAUUUGAACUAUAUCAAUUGCAUAUUGUUUAUUUGGACUUGGACUAUUGUUAAUUGAUUAUUUGUUUAGGUUUAUUGGAUUGGGCUUGAUGUAUUAUUUCUUUAGGCUAUGUGUAUUAUUAAUGUAGACUUAUUAAUUGGUUAUUUGUUUGGGCUUAUUAGAUUGAGCUUAAGUUAUUAUUUCCUUUGGUCAUGUGUAUUAUUAAUGUGGGUUUGUUAAUUGAUGUGAAUUUUGAGUCCAUAAUAUGGGUGGGAUUUGUUGGAUGAUUUGAAUAUUUGAUAUGAGCUUGACCUAUUUGAAUUAUUUAAUUUGAACAUGAGAUAAUUAUGAUGUAUAUUAAAUUAGGUUUGGAUUAUGAAAUAUCAAAUUUAGGCAUAAUGAGAUUUAUUUUAAUUUAUCGUGUUUUGGGUUUGAUUAAUUGAGCUUACAUUUUAGCUAUUAAUUUGAAAAAUUUUAGAUUAGGGUUUAUGAUAUGUGAGAUAUUUUUGUUAUGUUAUAUUUGUUAAUUUGGACCCAUUUGUAAUUGAUGAAAUUUAUUAGACUAAUUUGAAGUUUGAAUUUGGGUUUGAAUAAUUAUUUUGGACUCUACAUAUUUUUGGAUACUUACAUUUGUGCUAUUUUUGUUUUUGCAUGAGCCCGUUUUAUAAUCUUGUUGGCUGAGUAUAAAUUUAUGACAUGUGGAGCUUGUUGUAAGUUUAUUUCCCACUUUUAUUUUGUUUUAUUUUUAUUAGUUCUUGUAAAUAUUCGUUUGUAUAUAUUUAUUGAGUGUGUACAGAAUUGAACAUCGAACAAACUAAAAAUUUUGUUUAAAUGAAAGAAAGAAGUCAGUAAAUGUGUUUUAAUAAAACAAUAAUUUUAAAAUAUUAUUUUUAAUAAAAAAAAGUUUUUUUUAUUUAUAAAAUUCAGAAAAAUGAAUUUAAAAAAAUCCAAAAGAAAUGUUUUUAAUGGAAUUUGAAAAUUUGUUUUUAAAUAAUAUUUGUCCAAAAAUUUCUUUGUUUAAUAAAAAUUGUCCAAAUAUUGUUUUGUAAAUAAAGUUGUCCCAAAAAUUAAUUUUUAAUAAAAUUGUCCAAAAAAAUGUUUUUUUUUUAAUAAAUAUAUUCUUUUUUACUUAAUUAAAAUUGGAUUAAAAGUCAUUUUUUGAAAUAGACGAUUUAUUUAUUUAUUUUUAUUUUUAUUUUUUCCUUUUAAUUAAAAAUUCUUAUGUAAAUAAAGUUAUGUCUUUUUAAAUAAUUUGUAUAAAUCACUCUCCUUAAAUGAAAUCAAAUUGAAAUAUUUUUGUAAAUAAAAUUGUAAAAAUUCUUUUUUUUUUUUUUUACAAGUAAAAAUAAUUUUUGUGCCCAAAUUGAAAUUUUGUAAUAAAUUCUUUUGAUACAAUAAGUGUAAAUAACCUUUUUUGAAAAUUAAAUACAAAUGAAAUUGAAUCAAAUCACUUAAAGAAAAUAUUUUGUAAAUAAAUAAAUUGAAAUCACUCAUUCAAAAUAAUUUUUAAUAAAAUCCUUUGAAAUUUCUUGAAAACUUUUUUAAAUAUUUUUUCAUUAUUUAUUUAUUUAGUUCAAUAAAUCAUUUUGCAUAAUUCUUUUGUCAUUUAUUUUUUAUAUUCUUAUAAUUAGAUUUCGUCAUUAUUUUUGUGUAUAUUAAUUUUCACCGUGACUUCUACAUUGAUUAUUUUUCUUGAUAUCCAUAAUUAAUUAAUUAAUUUUCACAAUUCUCUUAAUUCGUUUAGUAAAGGCCGUAUGUAUACAGGCUUAAAGGGGUGUUACGGCUCAUCAUCGUACCUUCCCAAUAAGUAACCCGACCCCCGGACCCAAACUUGGUUUUUCACAGACCCGUUUUUCCUUCAGGAGUCACACUUAGAGUUUUUUUCUUUGGUAUUUUGUUUUUUCCUUUAAAAAUAAAACAAAAAUAAGUGACGACUCCAAGUCUUUUUCUAAAAAUCAACAUUUCACCAAAUAAAUAAAAAACGAGUUUCGCUAUCGAAUGGGAACAUAUCGAGCAGAAAUGCGGGGUCCACACACUCUAAAUUUAUUUUAUUUUAUUUUAUUAUAUAUUCUAACAUUUUACAAUUAUAUCAUUCUUUUCUUUUUUAAAAUGAAUAUUUAAAUGUAUAUAAUAUUUUAAUAUUUAAAUAUAUAUUAUAUAUACAUUUAAUACUCACGAUUACUAUUUUAUAUUAUAAACAAUUGCAUUGUGGUCUUGGUAGAGAAUUUGAAUUACAUCUAACUUUCUCAUGACCACUAGAAGAUCAGUAGAAGUGGGGCCAUUGACCAUUAGAGAUUGUUGUUAAAAGUCAGUGGGUUAUGAGUCUCAAAUUAAAUCCUGACUGAACCAGACCUGUUUAUUAAAGAAGUUAUGUAAAUCUUGUCAUAUUACGUGUGUAAUAAAUGGGUUGUAUUCAUAUUAAAGGACUAUGACAUGAUUAUUAAACGGGUUGUAUUUGCUUGACCAGAUUUCGCUAUGAUCUUAUCUCAACAUGGAACAAACUACAUAUAACAUGACUUCAGUGUCACACAAAUAUUACUCUACAAAUCCAUAUAACACGAUUCUAUUGCCACUCAAAUGUUGCCAUUGCCUUCCUUUGUUCAAUAAAUCGACACGUGAUCUUGGGCUGUUGUUGAUAGACCUGAUAGUCAAUCUUCUUUAAAUUUCUUCAUUUUGGUCUACUGUGUCCCUUUUUGCAACCAUACUAAAAACUGAAAAUCAUGCUGAAAUUAUGAAUUCUCAACUCUUCAACCAGUUUUGGCAAGUUACAUAGGUUGCAAAUGGUGAAAUUGACAUUUCUCUUAAUAAGUUAAGGGAUAUUUUGAAAUGUCUUAAUUAUUAUCUUAUGGCAAUCUAUUAUUCAAAGCCUUGACAAAGGUCCAAACUCAAACUCAUUGUCAAUGGGGCCAUAAUAUCUUUGUUAAUGAAACUGAUGAUUUUUCUCUCCAUAGCUCAGGACUUGAAUCUCAAGCCACCUCCUGUUCCUGAGGGGGAGUUCUGUUGUCUGUGGCUUCCCAGUUUCUUAUUAUUUUUUUUUUGUUUUGCACUUUUUUUUGUUUGCUUGUUUAGACUGACAACUUCAUGAAAACUUGUUCAAUGGAAAAAUAGGUAUUUAAAUUACAAUUUUUUUUGUUCAAUGGUACCAUUUGCUUCAGGAUUUCAACUAAUGAAUGAUCUAAUGGUUUGCAAGAGUUUGACAUGAUAUGGUGUAUUACCAUUAUGUGUUGCCUGUUUCAUGUUCUGAUUUUUAUGCUUUUCCCAUUGUUUUCUAAUGUAUGAUUCUUUUUUCUUUUUGAUGUAUGUAAAAGAGUCUAGAAGCAGAUUUGUCAAGGAUUACUAUAGCCUUUUUCUGAAUUAUGUUGUAAUGGCCAGUAUUUUAGUGUGUGCUAGCAGAAGUCUGGGAAAUAGUGCUUUAGGGGUUGUAGGUCAUUCUAUUUAGGAAAAAUGUGUACCAACACAACAUGAUUUCUGACAGUGAUUUGUAGGAAAAUCUUGGCUAGCUUGAGUCACUAACUGUAUGAUGGUCUUCUUACCAUGUUUUCUGGUUCACUGAAUUCCAGAGGCAGAUUUACAGUUAAUAGUGGUUAUUUAAAAUGUAGACCUUGUGCAUUGUCGACUGCCAUUUCUUAGUUAGCAUUGAAUUGCCUUCAUGACUUGCACUUCUUUGCUUUAGAUAUAAUCUCUUUUUAUUUUUUAUUUUUGGAUGCUGAAUUGGUUUCCAUCUCCAUUGUGUUCCAGGCAAAUCCAUCUGAUCCCAAGACAUUUCCUUUUAUAUUAUUGGGAAACAAAAUUGAUAUAGAUGGUGGAAAUAGCCGAGUGGUAAGGACUAUAGUUACUGUCCUAUUUUAAUUUUGUUAUUUAUUGCAUCUGGUCCUAAUUUAUUUGAAUACAGGUUUCUAAGAAAAAAGCAGAGGACUGGUGUGCUUCGAAAGGAAACAUUCCUUACUUUGAAACAUCAGCAAAGGAGGAUUACAAUGUUGAUGCUGCAUUCCUUUGUAUUGCCAAAACUGCCCUAGCCAAUGAGCAUGAACAAGACAUGUGAGUUAACCUUUAAGGCUGAUUUGUUCUUUGGAAUGAUCUGACAUGGAGGUGAUAAUUGCUGCUCAGUUUUUUUUACAUGUUAGGUUCAUCUGUAUUAAAGGAGUGUCUAUCGUGUUAUGUGCUGUCCAUGAUUGUUAUACUUCAAUAGGAAAACUAUAUUGGUUUAUGAUAGCUGGGAAGUAAGUAUAUGCUAGUUAUUCAUCCAUUAAUUUUGAGAUUGUGCUCCAAAAUUACACUAGUUAUUGUUCAAGUAUGAUUCUUGGCAGUGUAUGUACAAGCCAGAACCAUUUCUUUCUUAUUUGCUAGAAAUAUUCUCUUUAUUUUGGUGCAAGUGGUUGAGUAUAUAAAGUUCUAGUCACAUACGGAGGGUUAACUAUCACCAUUUUUGAUGAAAUUUAAUUUUGUUAUGAUUUCCAUGUAAGUGGUUCACAUGGAAUUUCAUGAGGUCAUAGUGAUGAUCUUGAGUUCUGUUUUGAUGGUGUUGUUAGAUCUGGGUGUUUUGAGCCUUCUUCAGGUUUGAUGUUUCAGAACACCAGGACUUUUGAAGCUUCUUGUUGAAGUUGAUCUGAAGACAUUUUUUUUUUCAUGGGCCAUGUUGCGUAGCCAGGGUUGUUGGCAUCUUUGGUCCUAACUGAGAGAGCAUGCCACCUUUUGCACUCUCAUUUAAGUAUUGGGUGCAGUGAUCGUCCUGGUUUUUUUUUCCAUUUCUUCAAUGAUUUCCGUCUUUCUUUGUCUUCUCAAAUUUGAUUAUGUAGGGUUAAGAUCAUUCCAGCCUAUGGCUGUUUUCUACAAAGUGAACAAAUAUUUCAACAAGCAGGUUCUUUCGAGAGGGUCUAGGAUCUUAGAAAGAGUGAAGGGUACUUAAGCAUAAGAUUUUUCUCAUUUGUUUUAAUGAAGUGUUCAUGUAUUUUAACUUUUACUGCAUAACACGUGAUGUAGCUAUGCAUGAGCCCAUAUUGCCAUUUUGCUCAGAUUUUCAUGUUGUAAUGGUAAAUAUUUCUUAGAUCCAUUUAGUUAAAUUAAGCCUAAUUUGCUAAUAAUUUAAGUGCUUGAAAUCUUAGUGACCUUUCUAUGUGAAGAUCUCAUGUUUCUUCUACCUCAAUUUUUGUUGACAUUGGGGCUUGUAAAGUUAGCCUAAAAUUCAUGGUUGUGUGUAAUUGACAGGAAAAUAAGAGAUGGCCCUUUUCAUCAUUAGAUUGGAUUAGGCACACACCCCGCACCGCCACUCCCCCACACUACCACCACAAUGAAUCUGACCUUAUACAUGGCCGAAAUGACUUUCUAAGGAGACCAAUGAGUUUCUCUCUAAGUGAUUUUAGAAUUCAAUCCACCAGUCUAAAGGCCAAAUAUAGUCUAGAGUGCCAGAUGCCACCCUUUGUUUUCUAGGAAAUCUCCUUGUCUGUUUGCCACAAAGAGCCC